GAAUUUGAAGUAAAGGUUACAUUUAGUUUCGGCCUAAAUAUUGGUUUUAUAAAACCCAAAUUCU
rnacentral:tRNA from 1 species